rnacentral:ncRNA from 1 species
GGGUCAGCACCGUUUCUGCGGACUGGCUUUCUACGUGAAAAGGAUCUAGGUGAAGAUCCUUUUUGAUAAUCUCAUGCCUGACAUUUAUAUUCCCCAGAACAUCAGGUUAAUGGCUUAUUUAGCUGUCGUUGAAGGAUGAGCUUGCGGCCUAUCAGUUUGUUGGCGGGGUAAUGGCCCACCAAGACUAUGACGGGUAGCCGGCCUGAGAGGGUGAUCGGCCAGAUUGGAACUGAGAC